UACGUAGGGGGCUAGCGUUGUCCGGAAUCAUUGGGCGUAAAGCGCGCGUAGGCGGCCCGGUAAGUCCGCUGUAAAAGUCAAAGGCUCAACCUUUGAAUGACAGUGGAUACUGCCGGGCUAGAGUCCGGAAGAGGCGAGUGGAACUCCUGGUGUAGCGGUGGAAUGCGCAGAUAUCAGGAAGAACACCGACGGCGAAGGCAGCUCGCUGGGACGGUACUGACGCUGAGGCGCGAAAGCGUGGGGAGCGAACAGG
rnacentral:rRNA from 1 species